UACGUAGGGUGCGAGCGUUGUCCGGAAUUAUUGGGCGUAAAGAGCUCGUAGGCGGUGUGUCACGUCGGCCGUGAAAACCUGCAGCUUAACUGUGGGCGUGCGGUCGAUACGGGCAUCACUGGAGUUCGGCAGGGGAGACUGGAAUUCCUGGUGUAGCGGUGAAAUGCGCAGAUAUCAGGAGGAACACCGGUGGCGAAGGCGGGUCUCUGGGCCGAUACUGACGCUGAGGAGCGAAAGCGUGGGGAGCAAACAGGG
rnacentral:rRNA from 1 species